rnacentral:rRNA from 1 species
CUACGGGGUGCAGCAGUGGGGAAUAUUGGACAAUGGGGGAAACCCUGAUCCAGCAAUGCCGCGUGUGUGAAGAAGGCCUGCGGGUUGUAAAGCACUUUCGGUUGGGAGGACUGCUUCUAGCACUAAUAUUGUUGGAAGUUGACGUUACCUUCAGAAGAAGCACCGGCUAACUCCGUGCCAGCAGCCGCGGUAAUACGGAGGGUGCAAGCGUGAAUCGGAAUUACUGGGCGUAAAGCGCGCGUAGGCGGCUAGAUCAGUCGGGUGUGAAAGCCCCGGGCUUAACCUGGGAACUGCAUCCGAUACUGUCUAGCUUGAGUACAGGAGAGGAGAGUGGAAUUCCACAUGUAGCGGUGAAAUGCGUAGAUAUGUGGAGGAACACCAAUGGCGAAGGCAGCUCUCUGGCCUGAUACUGACGCUGAGGCGCGAAAGCGUGGGGAGCAAACAGGAUUAGAUACCCGCGUAGUC